CCCUCUCAGCAGCAGAGGGACCUGAACCCUCAGACUUCUCUCUACCAGCGGGAGAAGAGAGGUGGAGAGAACUUCCACCUCCUGGAUGCAGGCCUUUCCUUGAUGCAAGGAGGAGAUGCAGGAAGAAGGGAGGGAAGAAGAAUGGCUGAAUAUCCAAAACAGUGCAGCAGACUUCCUGGCUGGAGAUAUCAUGUCUCCCUCUUGCAUACGCGCCUGCUGUUUGUGAUUUCAUUCCACCAGGAGACUCCAGAGCUGAGCCAAUGCAGCAUCAUGCACUUAAACCUCCAGAACUGAUCCCACCCAGGAACCCACAUUGUAUCCAGCUACUGUGCCUCCUCCUCGGUUCCCCGAGCUGUGGAGUUCCUUGGACCUUCCUUGCUCUUGAAGACUCCAAUGGCUGAGGGGUUUGGAGCAGGGAUUUUGCAGUGUCUUUCAACCGGGAUUUUUCUGAGGUUUUUUUCUCGUGGUGAGACUGGGGUUCGGUUUUGGAGGAAGAUCACAGAGGUAGAGUGUCAGUGCUUCACAUCAUGGUAAGGGCUGACCCUGUCAGCUUGACUGACCAUUGCUGGUGUUACCUUGAUCACCUGGCCAGGGUGGUGCUUGUUAAUUUUCUCCAACCCAUGCUCCUUCAUGGGCUGUGUAUGUAAUGGAGGGGAUAUGCUAUACUUAAAAAAAAUUAAAAUCUUCUUAAAAAUAUCAAAAAGCCAGGCACAAUGGCCCAUGCCUGUAAUCUCAGCAACUCAGGAGGCUAAGGCAGGAGGAUCACAAUUUCAAGGCCAGCCUCAGCAACUUAGCAAGGCCCUAAGCAACUUAGCAAGACUCUGUCUCAAGGUAAAAAAUAAAAAAGGGCUAGGGAUGUGGCUCAGUGGUAAGUGCCCCUGGGUUUAAAUCCUAGUGUGU